rnacentral:rRNA from 1 species
GGCCAGACUCCUACGGGAGGCAGCAGUGGGGGAUAUUGCACAAUGGGGGGAACCCUGAUGCAGCGACGCCGCGUGGGUGAAGGAGCGUUUCGGUACGUAAAGCUCUAUCAGCAGGGAAGAAAAUGACGGUACCUGAUUAAGAAGCCCCGGCUAACUACGUGCCAGCAGCCGCGGUAAUACGUAGGGGGCAAGCGUUAUCCGGAUUUACUGGGUGUAAAGGGAGCGUAGACGGCAGCGCAAGUCUGGAGUGAAAUGCCGGGGCCCAACCCCGGAACUGCUUUGGAAACUGUGCAGCUCGAGUGCAGGAGAGGUAAGCGGAAUUCCUAGUGUAGCGGUGAAAUGCGUAGAUAUUAGGAGGAACACCAGUGGCGAAGGCGGCCUGCUGGACUGCAACUGACGUUGAGGCUCGAAGGCGUGGGGAGCAAACAGGAUUAGAUACCCUCGUA